UACGUAGGCAGCGAGCGUUGUUCGGAAUUACUGGGCGUAAAGAGUGCGUGGGCGGUUCUUGAAGUCCGCUGUGAAAGCCCCGGGCUUAACCUGGGAAUGGCAGUGGAAACUGGAGGACUUGAAUUGAGCAGAGGGGGGUGGAAUGCCGCGUGUAGCAGUGAAAUGCGUAGAGAUGCGGCGGAACACCGAUGGCGAAGGCAGCCCCCUGGGCUUAAAUUGACGCUGAGGCACGAAAGCGUGGGGAUCAAACAGG
rnacentral:rRNA from 1 species